rnacentral:rRNA from 1 species
UCGAAAGCCUGUCCCAGUUCGGACUGGAGUCUGCAACCCGACUCCACGAAGUUGGAUUCGCUAGUAAUCGCGCAUCAGCCAUGGCGCGGUGAAUACGUUCCCGGGCCUUGUACACACCGCCCGUCAAGCCAUGGGAGCCGGGGGCGCCUGAAGUCCGGGACCGCGAGGACCGGCCUAGGGCGAAACUGGUAACGUGGGGCUAAGUCGUAACAAGGUACC